CGCUGGCGGCGUGCCUAAUACAUGCAAGUCGAACGGUCUUUUCUAUGGAAGCUUGCUUCCACUGAGAAGAUAGUGGCGAACGGGUGAGUAACACGUGGGUAACCUGCCCAUAAGAGGGGGAUAACAUCCGGAAACGGGUGCUAAUACCGCAUAGUUUUCUUGAUCGCAUGAUUGAGAAAGGAAAGACGGCCUUUGUGCUGUCGCUUAUGGAUGGACCCGCGGCGUAUUAGUUAGUUGGUGAGGUAACGGCUCACCAAGACGAUGAUACGUAGCCGACCUGAGAGGGUGAUCGGCCACAUUGGGACUGAGACACGGCCCAAACUCCUACGGGAGGCAGCAGUAGGGAAUCUUCCGCAAUGGACGAAAGUCUGACGGAGCAACGCCGCGUGAGUGAAGAAGGUUUUUCCGGAUCGUAAAACUCUGUUGUCAGAGAAGAACAAGUUGGAGAGUAACUGCUCCAGCCUUGACGGUAUCUGACCAGAAAGCCACGGCUAACUACGUGCCAGCAGCUGC
rnacentral:rRNA from 1 species